GCAGCUGUGUUCACCAUAACAUUUUUUUGUCCGUAGUGUGUGAUGAUGAAAUUGUUAAUUGUGAAUAGAAUCAGGAUUAUAAACUAAUUUUUAAUAGAAGAGAAAAAAAAAAAAAGUAUAUACUUAAAAAAAUGUAUUUAUGGCUCAGAUGUACUGUAAUUCAGAUUUAUUGUACCGCUUCCUUGAUUUUUAACUAUGCACUGUAAUGAGGCAUUUGCCACUCAGCAAAUGGGGGGUCAGAGCAGAGUCACUGAGCCGGCAUUCACCCAGGGGCCGCAGGGGGACCCGCCUCCCCCGCCGGCAAACUGGGGUGCUCAGCGGUCGCGUCGGGAUCGCCCACUUUCCUGUCAAAGCCAUUCUUCUUGCCCCCAUGGCCUGAGCCCCCUAGCCCCCAUCCCGGCUGGGUGGUGGCACCCAGAUGCUGAGCUCGGUGGCGGUGGGUGAUGGAACCAGCAGGCGGUGGGGCACGCCAGCCCCAUGCCGUUCUCGCUGUGGGGCCAGGCAGCUUGGCCGGCGUGAAGGAGAGGGGUGGUAAGAAGGAUGGGCUGCCCGGGGGGUGCGGGACCGAUGGUGACCAGCCAGCACUGCUCCAGCCCUCCAGUGCCCUCGGGGCCAGGAGAGAAGGGUCGGGGAGCUGGAGCCAGCCAGGCUUGAUCUGGUGGGUCUUGGGGGACGGGGACCUCCGGGUCUCUGCAAGGGAGCUGCCUUCUCUCUGGCUCCUCAGGUGGCUGGGAGACUGGACAGGUUGAGCAGUUUGCUCCCGUCCACCCCCUGCAAAGCAAGUGGGGCGAGAAGACCCGUCCAUGAUCACUGCCCGGUAGCCAGCCCAAAGCCCAGAGAGGCAGGGAGGCGGGGGGGGCACGGCUCACCCACCACCCUGCCCGGUACCUGAUAAGCCAUACACUUCCCAGCGCCCGCUUGGCACCCAGGAUCCGUCCCCCGUGCUCCCCUGGCACGCUGUCCCGCUCUGCCUCUGGCCAAAGGCCUCGGGGCUGCCUGGCAGUGCUGGAUUUAAGGCACGCUCAAGCAGCACCCCCCUGAAACAGGCUUGUAAACUUGACCUCCAUCUCCAGACAAGGUGGGAGGAGGAGAGAGCCCACCACCAGCUGGAGCAAACCCCACCACGAGCCGGCCCAGAGGCACCAUUUUCCCAAGGGAGCGGGAAUCUUGCUGCUCCUCAAGCCAUCACCAUCGUCUCCCUUUAUUUUUCAGACCCAGAGACCACUAGGGAUUCAGCCAUCCGAUGUAGAUAGAAUAUUAUAGCCUUAACUCUGCCAAUAGAUAGAUUAGAGUCUCCUGGGGUCUUCCCUCUUCACGAUUUAGGGGUUUUAUUCUCAUUUCCCUGGCAUGGAUGCAAUUUCGUCUGCAGGAGAAUGGCAGGAGAUGGGAUGCCAAGAGCCUGAGCCCUGCCGAGGUGGCCCCUGGCUCCGGGGCCGUGUCUGCAGCUGGUCUCCGGUGGGAGCAGGGAUGCCGGCAUUGCCGAUACCAGCACAGUCACCUGCCUGUUUCUCCCCGAUUUUGGGGAAGCCAUGGUUCUGACGAUAACCAGCCCGGCGGUGCGAGGGCCCGUGGGCCACCGCAGGGUUCAAACCGCAGGUCCCCGAUCUGCCGCCGGUGACGAUCACUGUCGAGGACCAGUCCUUGUGCCACGUCCGUCUCAGCAGCAAGGUUCGGCCUCUCUCCUGCCACACGCUCCCCCCACUUCUCAUCCCACCUUAGCAAACACAAGCAGCUCUGGCCGAGACUGAGCAUCUGCUAUUGGCAACUGCCUCAUUGUAGCUUUGCCUUUUUCUGUCCUAGUAUUUCCUCACAACGAUGAUGUUUACAUGUGAUUGCUAUAGAGCUUAUGUAGAAUGUAUAUAGCGACACAUUUAGGGUGGGUAGUACUGUCCUGUGCUGUGCUGAUGUUUUUCAGAAAACGAUCAAUCCAAAAAAAAAAAAAAAACAACCAAGAAAAAAAAAGCAAGGUGGAAUUCUUCCAUCUCCCGCUCAGCCGGGGGCACCGAGCCCCCGCGGCCGGGCACUGCCAGGGAUGCAUCAAGCGUGGCAGAGGGGAGGGUUAGUGCAGAGCUGAGGGGCUCUGGAGCCUGGGGGAGCCCUCUCCUGGGGGAUCACUCAGUCGCUUCCCAAGCAGUGGUUUCCAUCUACCCAGAUAGAAAAUUUCUCAUUGUUUUCCUGCGGCUGGGUGCCCCGGGCCGGCCCACAGCCCCUGCCCCUGCCCGGCUUCUGGAUGUGGAGGCCGGUGCUGGGAAGGGGAGGGCUGCACAGAGCCCAUCAGUACUGCACCCCUAGGGUAGGAAGAGAUGCAAUAAGUGGUCUUCGUGGUGCCUGAAGCCUAUAAGUGGGGUUGGGUGUUUUUAUUUUAUUUGUUGGUUUGGGGUUCUUUCUUUUUUUUUUUUUUUUUUCUCCUUUGAAUUGGGAUGGUUUGUUUUCCCUCCUCCCCCAAGAAAUUUUUCCUGGACUUAUGCACUAUGAGCAGAGGUGUGCAGGGCACAGAGGCACAGCUGUGGCUGGGGCAGCCCUGUGCCCCUGCCUGUGCCUGCCCUGUGCCUGCCACAGCAGGGAAAAGCAGGGGACACGUGCUGCCAGCCCCGGGGGCACACUGUGCUCCCCUGGGGCCAUGUGCUGCUGCCUCGGGGAGUCCCCUGACUUUUAGGACUGGGUGAGGGUGGGGGGGGUGUUCAGAUCAAGAAGCACAGCUCUGCUGGGUUUAGAAUCCCUCACACAGGGUUUGUGGUGAAAAAUAAGUUUCCACUUGAUUUUUUUUUUUUUUUCUUAAAUAUAAAGGUGUCUUUAGCUCGCAGUGCUCGAGCCUGCAAAGGUGCAGGAAGGAGGGCUCGGGCAGAAAGGGCAGGUGAGAGCUCCCUCCCUCAGCCCCCCAUGACUUUGGGAUGCUAACGGGGAAGCAGGGCAGGAGCAAAGUGAUUCCCAAGCACCCCAUGGGGAGCAGCAGCCAGCCCUGCCAGGGAAGCACCGGGCUCCGCAGGUCCCUCACCCCCAGAGCUGUCAGGGAGCAGGGAUCACCAGCCCCCAGGAUUAGCUUUACAGUCUCAGCCUGUGGCAUCGCAGCGGGUGCCCCGGCGUGGGUGCAGCUUAGCACUGGGCACCCCGAAAAGGGAACCCGUGCACCCUAGGAAACCCCCCCCCCGCCGCCUGUGAGGGCCGGGGCUGGGGGCCGGUAGGAGCACUGCUUCAAAGAGAAACGGGGAGCAAAAGGGUAUAUUACGGUAGGCAAUAAGUAAGGAGGAGAUUUAUUUUUUUAAAAACAUAUAACUAUAGAAUGUGCCCCGGUAGUUUCCUGCAGGUACUGUGGGGAAAUACUGAAUGUGAAGAGUUUCGUGAUAAAAUGCCCCUUUGCCUUUUUUGCACAGAUUUGCCCCAGAAAAGCUCAUUGUUCAGGGUGGGGUACCGGGUUUCUGGCUGGAACCCAGCGGGUCCCUGGGGCUCCGCGGGAAGGAGCGAAUGUUUCUGAGUGUCUAGGCUGAAUGCAGAGGACAAUCCCGGGUUUUAGGUUUGACACUGACCCGAAGAAAAGGUUUAUCCCGAUUCCUACUCAGCGCAGCUGGCUGGGCUGGACAUCUUCUUUAACGAAGCGGCAGCUCAGUCACCACAUUACAGUCUUGAGUGUCUGAUUUCAGCACUGGUCCAUGCAAAGGAGCAUUGCAAUUGCAGACCAGCACUUUUUCUUUUUUUCUUUUUUCUUUUUUUUUUUUUCUGAGUUUGUUUUUUUUUUCUUUUCCUUUUUUUUCUGGAGAUAUGCUGAAAACUGAGAUACAUCGUUGUUUGUAGCUGAGCCCUGACACCCUUUCUGUUCUAAGCGCCGAGGUCCAUCCCCGACAAUCUCAAGCAAUAUCGAGCCAAAUGCAGCCUUUGGGUUUCAUUCCUCUUUCCUCGCCCACCCUGGGGUCAGGGGUGGCGGUGGCAGCCUGGCCGCAGUGCCCACGGCCACAGCUCCGAGCCGAGGGCCACCGCGCGGCGAAUGCUGAGCUGGGGAGGGAUUGUAUGUAUGCCUGUGAGAAAGAGAGAGAAAGAUUAAAUUGAUGCAUUUCUUGAGAAAGGUGUAAGAAUUUCACCUAGAAAGGGGCACAUCUGCUUUGUUAUUUAUAUUAAAAAAAAGCUAAAUUCUGUCUUUUUCUUCUUUUUUUUUUUUUUUUAAGUAAAAGGACACUGCUAAUAAUUAUUAGGGGCCAGUUCUGCCUCCCUUCCUCACACCGAGGAAGUACUACUUAACUCUGCAAUUUUCUACUUGCAGAGUAAGUAAAAGCAGCAGAAUUGGACCCUCUGUGAUUAAGAAUCAAGUUUUUAGUCUGUUUUUUUUUAAUUGGUAGUGGUUUUUUAUAUUUCACUUAAUUUUUUCCCCAGUUCCGUUCCGUUGUGUCCUUAUUUAUGUAAUAUACUUUAACCUUAAGAGAUGGCAUGGAUUCUUAUGCCUUUCCUUUAUUAUUAUUGUUAUUAUUUUUAAAAAAGAGAUUUAUUUCUAGUGUGAUUUAACUGUCUACCUUCUAAAACAAGAGAACGUUUUCUUGUAUUUUUACAUUGUCAGAUUCUAUAGUUUCAUAGAUAAUUUAACCAAAUCGCUCAAUGUAUUAUCUAUAUCUAUCCGGUGGGUAUAAAAGUUCUAUUUUAAAUUGUGUAAAUACUUCAGAACUGGCUUCUUUUUCCAGACUCCCCUGCCGCGGAGUUACUUGUUUACAUCAAAAAGACUGUAGAAUCUCUACGCUCAUGUACUGUAAAUAGUGAAGUGAUCUGCCUAUAAAUAAACGAUAACAUAUAUACUAUAAA